GAAGCGGGGGAGCCGAGGGGUAACCAGGGAAGCGUGGGGUACUGGGGGCAACCAGGGGAAGAUGGGGACGGGGUACAGGGAGGCUUGAGUGGGCCAAGGAUCACCUUGGAAAUCUGGGGUCUGGCAGGGGCGGCAGAAGGUUGGGGGGCUGGCUUGGGCAGGGCUGGAGGGCACCUGGCGGGAGUGUGGCGUGGGGUCCCAGGUGUCUUGGAGUACGGGUGACAUCGGCAUGGGAUGGGCCCAAGCUGGGGGUGUAGAGGAAAGAGGGGGGAGCCAGACAUUCAUCCCGGUCAGUUUUGGUUUCAGGACGUGGCGGCUGGUGGACGAGGGGAGCUGGAGAGAGAUUCGCCCGGGACCUGGGGCAGUGGGGCCGUAUAGCUGGCAGCCGUGGGUAAGUGAGGACAGCGGUCUGUCGGCCAGGUGAGUCCCCUCCCCUCCCUGGGCCUUGCUCUGCUGGCCUUCUGCAAGAAGGGGGCUUCGGGGAGCAAGGGCCAGCGAGGAGGAGCGGCUGACCUCCCGGCAGAGCAGCAGGACGAAGGAGAGCGGUCAGCACAGGUGACAUUGUCUCGGGGGGAGCUGAGACCGUGCGGGCUGGGGGGGGGCCGUGUGCCCUUCCCAGGUAGAAAGAGCAUUUCGAGAGAGCAGGCAGGAGAUGAGGCAGGGCUGCCCGCAGGAGAGGUGACAGGUGGCUGUGGGGAUGCAGCACGUGGGGGGGGGGGGCACCAGGCCCGGGUCGGACAGGAUGAGGUGGGGACUCAGGACGCAGCAGGGGUCCCCAGCCGCCACCACAUCUCACCCACUGAAAUUCAUUUAGUAGCAGGUACAGGAGCGGCUCUGGCCAGGCCAGAGCUUCGAGGGCUGGGGAGCGGGAAAGAAGGGGCAGUGCGCGGGGUGUCCCGCAACAGGACGUCACCGGAGGGAGCGGCGGCCGCAGGUACCGGCUCCGGAGAGAUUUCUGCAGCGAGGAGGCUGCUGCGGGCCCAGCCUGCGGACGCGCCGUUCCCACGUGGCACUGCGGCCCAGGGUCUGGCGCGGAGAGGGCCCACAGCGUACUUGGUGACACUGUAUGCCUUCACCGCUCAGCCCCUGGGUCUGGCAUGACAGACAGGACAGCACCAGGGGAGUCAAGGGCACUGGCGAGACCCGACUAGGCGAGGCGGGUGGGGUGGAGUGAAUGAGAACUCUGGUGGGGGGCCGGGGCGCAGGCAGGGGUGAAGGGCGGGAGCCUGGCGGCGAGUCCGCCGGGGCACUGGCCUCCAGAGCCCGUGGCCAAGGUGGGCCUCUGCGGGCGGCGACGGAGCAGGGAUCGGUGCCUCUGGACUCGGGACUGGAGACGAGGGUCUCCAGAUCGGGUGAUGUGCUGCUAGCCUCCGAAGGCCGGGCGCGAGGCUGCGCUCAGAGAGGCAUGACAUGGUCCGGUGUGACGGCGAGGACAGACGUGACGCCAUCCGGCCUUCCUGACCAUUCUAGGCUGGCGCCGCGGGGACCCGGAACACCCAUGGGCUCGUUCCUCUGCGCUCCUGAAGGAGCCGACACAUGACUGCUGCUCUCUGGACCCCUAGAACCCUCAAAACGACAAGAAAUGGUGCUACCCAGCUCACGCCUGGGCCUUGGAACUGGGACUUCUUCAAGUCCCCUCUAGCUCUGACUCAAGAAUAUGCUGCAUUCUGGAACCACUACACUCCUUGACUCAGGAAUCGGCUCUGGAAGGUCAAGCUACAGGAACGAGACCAGCCCGACAGCAAGACCGUUGGAAGCGAGCAGCACCCGCGGCGGCCGCCACCCCGCCUGGCGCCUCCGUCUCCGUGGCCACCCUGCCGUGGACAGGCGACCACCAACCAGCCUCCACGCCCCCAUGCCCCUCACCCUCCUUCUCUUCUUCCUUUCCUCUGUGCUUUCAUUUCCUUUCUUUCCUUUCCCCUUUGCUCGGGACUCAAAGCCACCGUGACUCCGUUUCCCCGUCCCUCCCGAAUUCAAUUUGCACUAAGUCGUUUGCACUGGUUUGGAGUUCUGGGUCUGGCCUCGAGUCCCCGAGCGCGUGUGCAAGCAAGCUGCUGAGUGCCCGCACCGUGCCCAGCGCCCACCUGCCGUCCAUCUCUGCCUGGGGGUGCCUGGGUGCGGCCGAGUGUGUGGGGCCCCACCCUCCCCUUUCCUAGUCUGGGAGCUCCAAACACCGAGCAAACCUUGAAGCAUUCCGUUGUAGAGCAGCUCGCUCUGUGCCCCUCCCCGCCAGGGUUUCACCAGAAGCCCUGGACUCAUCAAUAAACUCAGUUACAGCAA